CCUUCGGCGCAGCAGCAGCGCUGCCGGACCGGCACGGGGGCAGCGCUCAGGCGCUGGGUUAUUCCUGGGUGGAAUUGUCCAGUCUCCCUGUACUCGGCACCCGUCAGGCCGCACCUCGAAGCCUGUGUUCGGUUCUGAGGCCCUCAGUCUAGGAAGGACACUGGGGUGCUGGAGCCAGUCCAGAGAAGGGCAGCAGAGCUGAAUAAGAACUAUAAAGAAUAUCUAUCUAGCUGUAUACUGAUGCCAACAGAGUUCUGCAGGUGGAGAAGACUUUGGAUCUGUUAAGCACAUCUAGCACUGACCUCAUCUGGACAUAAAUCUUGGCAUAUAAAAAAAAACCUAAAAUGUUGAGAAUGCUUUAAAAAGAAACAGAUUUGUAGAGAGUAUAUCAACUAUAUUAAUUUGUGAAGGUUGUAAUCAUAAUAAAUCUAAGAUUCAGACUAGGCCUGGUCUUUUUUUGCUCAGAGGUUAUAGAAUGGUUUGGGUUGAAAGAGACCUUAAAGAUAAUGUAGUUCUAUCUGCUCUUCCGUGAGCAGAGACAACUUUCACUAGUCCAGGUUGCUCAGAGCCCCUUCGAAACCUGGGCUUGAACACUUCCAGGAACUGAGCAUGCACAACUUCUCUGGGCAACCUGUUCCAGUGCCAGGACUGAGAGAAAAUGGAUCCUUCAUCUUGGUUCCCCUGUCUCCUUGACUGCAGCUCUCUGUACCAUAGGUGUUCAGAGGAGAUCUCUAGGUGGGCAGAUUGCCCUCUCUCUGACCUGAGGUUAGACUUUCAGAAAAGAGAGUACAAAACAUCAAGAGCUGUGGUUCACGUAUGCUUUCAGACUCCAGCAUUUCAAAACCAAAUGAAAGCCUAAAUGCUUUAGAUAUCCACCAGAGCUGGUUCUUGUAGCUGCUAGUGAUCAGCAGCAAGAGACAAUGCCCAUGACACCAUCUGGGUCCUUGGUUUGGAAGGGAGAGGGAUCUGCAGGCACUGAAGCUGAAGCCAAGGUCUCUCUUCAGGUGAAGAUGAGAGAUGAACCAUCCUGUGAUUUUGUGAAGGAUGUUCUUCUUGUUCAAUUUGUGUCACAAUGACUAUUACCUAUUAAGGUUAGUAUCUUCCUAAAGGAGAGCAGAGACAGCACAACAAAAACCAGUCACUGCCUGAAUGCCUUCUUUUUAGACCACAUGGAGACAAAAUUUGCAUGCCUCUAAGUAACAAGAGUUCUGAGACUCUCAAGGGAAGAGGCACUUCUAAAGCCUUUGGCCCAAAGUGAAGUAAGUUGCCUGGGCUGGGAUAUUUGCUGCCCAUACUUCAGGUUGGGAGAAAAUCUGGUGGAAAAGGCAGAACUCCUUGAGCAGGGAUCUCCCAGGGGAAGACAGGCCUGGGAUUUGAGAUGCUGUGGCUGGCAAACCCCCUACUGUUUAAAGUGAUUGAUUAUCUUCCAUGGAAUGGAGCAGGAAGACAGACCAGUCAAUCUGAGUGGGUGACUAGCAGCAGCUGGUGGCAGUAACUUCAUCAGCACUGCAGGGACAGCCAGAAGAAGACACAGAGCUACCCCUUAAGUGCUAAAUAGCUGCUGUGUGCUUCUUGUACAUGCUUGUGUCAGUGAGGAUGACACCACGACUGUAUAUCAGCUUCAGGGACACACUAGCCAGGCUGUGAAAGUAUACAAAAAGGAAGAGUUGCAGAAGCCUCAGUUCAGAUGCUACACAACUACCAUUGGGGUACAGGCAGCAUGGCCUUCAGCCUCAGCACAUGGGAGGCUGGCAGAGAUGGGCUCCCAAGUCUUACUCUUCUUGUAGGAUUUCAGCAAAACAAGGCCUUAUGCAUCAGUUUCUCAAUCUUUAAAAAGGGAGCAGGUUUUAAUCACCAAAUAAGGCUGUUUGGAAGUUUAAUUACUGCAGGUAAAGAAGGUUAUGUCUUUUGAAGGCAGGUGUUAAACAAAAGCAAAGAUUUAUUACUAAUGCAACAUGAUAGAUCCAUUUGAACUUUCUUCAGGAGACUGCAGUAUUUAUUGAUUAGUAGCUUUGGCAGGGGGAGAAAUUGUGCAGCUGACUUCAGGGAAGUAAACUACAGGAAGGUGUUUGUGAAGGCAUUCAUGCUCUCGUUAACAUUAUUGUAAAUCUUGAUCCUUUAAUAAAGCUGUGACCUUGGAGCUGACAACUGGUGCACUGUGGAGCAAUAUAGAGCAUGGCACAAGCCUUGUAAAUCUUAUGUAGUUUUUGCCAUUCACAUAAACAACAUGUAAAGAGAAAUCAGGCAGCUGAAGUUUAUGAAACACAUUUAUUUGAAGGAGAGCAUUUUAAAUCAGACUUUUUAGAUGAAAUGAAACCAAUGGCCCUUCCAACUUUUUAUUCCUUGUGAUAAAAUGUGUUUGUGAAAUGAAAUCUCAACAGUGAAAACUUUUAGAACUGCUUGUAAACUACUGUUUGCAGGGGUAAACUGACACUCAAAAAGCACAUUUUAGAUCACCUUGCACAACUAUUGUACAACUUUAUAGAAAUACUUUUGUACAACUAUUAUUCUGUUGCUUUCUUGACAAUGCUGGUGCAAGAACAGCCCAACUACUUGCCAAUAUGAAAAAUGCAGAGAUUUGUUCUGUGGGAGCAGUCAAAGAUGGAUGUGAGCAGAAGGGGAAAGAGACAAAGCUGUGUAACUGCAGAGAGGUUUAAAGGUGCCAUGUGCAAGGGGAAGGACAUCUUUUUUGCUCUUGCCAGGUGUAUCUGCAAACACUAGCAGCCACAGACAAAACUAAGGACAACACUCCUACAGCUUAUUUCAUACAAGUAAAAAGUUUUUUGGAUGUCCAGGAAACAAUAAAUCAACUUUUUCCCUGUGUUUUAGGUUACUGUGCUCUGGCAAACUAGAUGUGUUUUUAGUUACACAAAUCUUCCCACCAUAUCAAGCAACACCUUUGGAACAACACUGGCCAUCUUUCUGGCUGAGGAGUUUUCUUUUGCGAGGGCAGUUUUCAAGAGAAAAUGAAAGCAACUUUCCUAGGCACAUGACACAUUGAACCAUUCUUUUCCCAAAAAGGAGCCAUUUUCUGAUUCCAAAACCUUAAGUGUAGAGGGCAGUUUCCUUGUUAAUAUGUUACCAGGUAAGUAAAGCUGCUCUAAUCACUGUAUAUGCUUCAAUGAAUGAACGUGAAUUUAAAUUUUUUACAGAUCAAAUGCGUCUUUGAAAGAUACUAUGCUAUACUGUACAUGUAAAAAAAUGGACAUGCUUUUUUAAACUUACACAGUAAGAAUGGAGGUUAGUUAAAAGAUUCCAUUCUCUUGAACAGAGUUCAAUUUUUUCUUAUUAUAAAUAGAAUAUUCGCUUCUUGCUAUCCUUUCAAAAUAGCUUUCCUUUAACCAACUUUGCUUAUUUUAAGUCUCAUCUUGCACUGUAAAUGGAAACUUAUGUGCAGCCCUUGGCAGUGGGUAGCACACACAGCGCUGUUUAGAGGGGGGAUUUGUUCCAGUUUGUUUGGUCCUGUUGCAUCUGAAAUGCUGCUGUUUGUCAUCUACCUCCAGCAUGGCAUUGUCAUCCUCAAUACACACAAGAUUGGCCUGCUCCUGGAAUGGAGCUGCAGACAAAUAGGAGAGGCUGCUGUAAAAGGCAGUGUGCCUGUAUACUGUACACAUUAAAGCAUUAGCUCAUAUAAAGGUGCAGACUGCAUAAACUCUGUGUGAAUGUUUCCUUUAAUUUAUUUGGGGUUCUGUCUCUUAGAUGAUCGUGGUUAAAGUGGUGAAAACUAAGCUGCAGUGUUAAAGGGAACAGAGUGUGUUCCCACCCACUGUGAGAAAUGGGAGUGCUGGUUGAUUUGUCUACAGGUCCUUGAGUCUGUAACCUCUCUAAAACACCUCUUCUGUGAAAUGUGAGAGUCAGAGUCUAAAAUGCCAUGGCAAAUAAUCAUCAGAGAAGUAAAUUAUGUUUAUCAAGAUCCAAGUCUACACCCUGUUGACCUCAAACCUACAAAUGGUGUCAGUAAGACCCCACAGCUUCCCUCCAUGGGGAUUCAGAAUUAAGCCAUUUAUGUGAAAUUAUCAAAACUUAGAAAAAAAAAUUAACCCUCCCACCAUGACAGAGUCCUAUAUAAGACCACAUAAGCUGUUUUCAAAUUAUAACUUCAAAACCCAGACAAGAAGUUAUAAUACAUACUUCCCAUUUCUACACAUGGGAAGUAGAAAUGGCACAUGCUGGAUUUAAAAUCAGGCAAGUCACUGAACAAUGCUCUUUGACCUGGCUGUAAGUAACUGUUUGUUGUAACCAUAAUAAGACUUACUACACAUUUUCAGUGGUCCAAUGAGCACUCACAAUGACAGGAGUGCCUCAAUUUUAAAUAUUAUGUGCAUACCUGCUUGUCUAAGAGAGAUGUGGAGGGGGAAAAAAUAUAGCUACAUUUGUCCUCUGCUGUCAAAAUCAAUUAAACAAUUAAUACACUUUCUCUAUUAUUUCCUAUCAGCAAUGGUUGCUAGAAUUAAUCAGUUUAAUGUGGAAAUUCAGUAAAAUAAUAUGCUUAUGUACAUUACUGCUGCUGUCCCUUCUGAUCUGUGGUGCAUGAGACAUGGCCCGUUAGCUCACCCUCAUCAACUUUGCUUGGGCAAUAAGGAAAAGAAGAUCUGGGAAUAAGAAGUACUACGUUUUUAGUGGAUACUGAGUACGUGAUACAUUUUUGUUACUACAAACUAUAAAAGAAUUAUUGAGAUUGCUUUGGCCAGACAUCGUAAGGAUCCUUCUUUUGCCAGACUGCAGCACGGGUGUGUAACAGGCACCUGAUGUAUGUUAUGCUGGCAAGAGGUCAGCCUUGCUAAUGGAUGCUGCACAGUUCUCUGCCAGCAUGUCAGGAUAUCGAUCCAGAAAAGCACUCAACUUAUGUUAUGGUUAUCCAUGACCUUAGGGAAGAACAGAUGAAAAUACUGAUCACUACCACUACAGGCAUUUUCUGAAAGCAUAAUUUAAUCGCUGUGAUAUUCUUGGAGCAGGCGUGACCAAACUAUCAAUUCUCAGGAGUGCUCAUUGAGUAUUGACACCUCUUAGCAGAGGACUCCUACUCAUUUUUCAGUACAGAGCAUGGUCCUUUUGCAUGGUGGAGACAAUUUUUCAGCUCAGUGUAAUUUUCAAAUGUAUGUGGACAAAUGUUCAAGUUUUUCUGUGCAUCAGAACAGUAACCAAAAAGGAGAUAAAUCUGUCUUCAGCAACCUGAAUAGCAUGUCAUUUAGGAAAUUACACAGCAAAGAGUAUAGGGACUUAAAACUCAUAAAUAAAAACAUUUAAAUAAUUAUAUCAAAAUUGUUCCUUAUCAUUAAUGAGCAAAACUACAGGCCAUUGAAUUUCAAGAUGUGAGUAAUUUUAGAAUGGCUAAACACUUAAUCAAAUUCUCUAAUGUGUCCUGCUCUGAAAGAGAAUGAAAGGAACAGAGAAUUUGAACUUUUGACAUACAAUACACACAUUUUAAAAUAUAUAUAUUCUUUCUAUAUGCUAUAUAUUAAUAGUAAGAGCUGCCAAUCUUCAUAAUUCAGAACUAUUUCUAAAGAACAAAUUCUUAGGAGGUGUUCAAUUACAUUUAAAUUAUGAUCAGUCUUAUUCAACAUUUUCAAGGAGUUUUAUUUGAAAGUAAACAUAAUUCUCCCCCAAGAAAAACAGC